ensembl:snRNA U6 U6 spliceosomal RNA
GUGCUCCCUUGAGCAGCACAGCUACUGAAGUCAGAAGGAUACAGAAAUUAACAUGGUCCCUAUACAAGAAUGACACGCAAAUCUGUGGAGCAUACGUUU